GAAUAUUGGACAAUGGGCGCAAGCCUGAUCCAGCCAUGCCGCGUGAGUGAUGAAGGCCCUAGGGUUGUAAAGCUCUUUCACCGGUGAAGAUAAUGACGGUAACCGGAGAAGAAGCCCCGGCUAACUUCGUGCCAGCAGCCGCGGUAAUAGGAAGGGGGCUAGCGUUGUUCGGAUUUACUGGGCGUAAAGCGCACGUAGGCGGACUAUUAAGUCAGGGGUGAAAUCCCGGGGCUCAACCCCGGAACUGCCUUUGAUACUGGUAGUCUUGAGUUCGAGAGAGGUGAGUGGAAUUCCGAGUGUAGAGGUGAAAUUCGUAGAUAUUCGGAGGAACACCAGUGGCGAAGGCGGCUCACUGGCUCGAUACUGACGCUGAGGUGCGAAAGCGUGGGGAGCAAACAGG
rnacentral:rRNA from 1 species